rnacentral:rRNA from 1 species
GUGAACGCUGGCGGUAGGCCUAACACAUGCAAGUCGAACGGCAGCACAGUAAGAGCUUGCUCUUACGGGUGGCGAGUGGCGGACGGGUGAGGAAUACAUCGGAAUCUACUUUUUCGUGGGGGAUAACGUAGGGAAACUUACGCUAAUACCGCAUACGACCUACGGGUGAAAGCAGGGGAUCUUCGGACCUUGCGCGAUUGAAUGAGCCGAUGUCGGAUUAGCUAGUUGGCGGGGUAAAGGCCCACCAAGGCGACGAUCCGUAGCUGGUCUGAGAGGAUGAUCAGCCACACUGGAACUGAGACACGGUCCAGACUCCUACGGGAGGCAGCAGUGGGGAAUAUUGGACAAUGGGCGCAAGCCUGAUCCAGCCAUACCGCGUGGGUGAAGAAGGCCUUCGGGUUGUAAAGCCCUUUUGUUGGGAAAGUAAAGCAGCAGGUUAAUACCCCGCUGUUCUGACGGUACCCAAAGAAUAAGCACCGGCUAACUUCGUG